rnacentral:lncRNA from 1 species
AUGAAAAUAGCAGUAUCUGGAAUAUUUUGAAUAUUAUUGAGCAACUUUUUUUUACUAAUUACUAAAAAAAUUUUAUUAUAUUUAUUUUGACACUUAAAUUUAAUAGAAUAAAAAAAAUCACAUCAAUAGUAGUUUUACAUUUGAGGCCCUUACGCAUGGGAGGGGGGGGGGGGUGCGUAUGGUGCGUAUAGUGCGUACGCACUCCCCCCCCCCCCCCUAAUUUGCGAAAAGGUCCACAUUUUAUAUAAUAUUAAAUUUUUUAUAGGAAAAAUUGCAGCUUUUACUUAUACUUUACAGAUACGUUUUUCGUUUCAUAUUGAUUAAAUUUUUCUAUACUACGGUAUUAUACACUUUUAACGUCGCUAAGUCUUGUCAUACUUGUACAUACCAAAAUAUAAACACUAUAAUGUCUUCAUUAACAUUCGUACGAUUUUUUUUGACAACAAUUUUGUUUUUAGCUUCGCGUUUGCUUAUUACCCCAACCAGGUGCUAUCGUAGAUUAAUUAUUUUGUUUUAUUUAAGUUCUCUUUAUAUAUUACACUUUUAAUAUUAUACGUUUAGAUUACCACAUCAAUUAUUUCUCAUCCAAUACAGUUUUUAUAUUUAUCCCGUAUAUUUUCAUUGUUUAUUAUUGCAAAUAUUGUUUAUUAUUAUGUAUGUUAUUGUUGGACACAAUGAUAACUCGAUGUAUGCACUGAAGCUCUUGUAGCAUUUUAUUGUUUUUUAGGAUACCACCUCACAAGGGAAUAUAUUUUUUAUUGUUUGAUUUUUGUAUUAUUUUAUCUGAUAAUAUAUUUUCAUUUUUGUAUUUACAUUGAUAUUAUUAAUAUAUGAUAUAUUUAUAAUUUCAUUUUUUUUUAAUUUACACAGUUAUUAUUAUCAGAAAUUGCAAAUAUGAAUAUUCAAAUAUAUGAUUAAAAAAUUAUUAAAAAAAAAAAGCAUUAUGACAUUUCUGCAAGUAGAAAAAACAUAUAUCCGAAACUUUUCUCUUUGAGUUCUAUAUCCAAUUUUGAUAUUUAGAGUACAUUCUUGUGUACUACGUAUAUCUUUGGAUUUCUUUGCGUCUAUAAGCAUACACGGCCCAUUAUGAUCCAUCAUAUAAAAAAUCCUUCCUGGACCACACUCAGUGACUCUUCAUAUACUAUGGGGCGCAAAGAGCAAAAUAAAAGAACACGAAUAUCAGCAGCUAAAACUUGUCAAUCUCUAGAUGGAUAAGGUACAAAAAAAAACUGAAAAUCAUAAUCAAUUUAUCAAUGAAAAUGCACCAAAUACUAAUACCGCAAUUUCUAAACAACAUGAUUCUAUUGAUAGUCCUCCCGCUAAAAUAUCUCGUACUACCAAACAAUCAGAUUCUGAAUCUCUUGCUUUCACCAAAAAUGUUAGUAAAAUAUUGAAUGCUACAAUGAAUUAUGAAGAAUUGAGUAUGGCAAUGAGGACACUCGAUGAUACUCAAAAGUUCGUUUUUUGAAUAAUCACUUCUAGCCACCUAUAGAAUAUAUUUUCCCGUCACAAUUUCUUUACAAAUGUCAGCGUUUCUUCACAAAUGUCAGCUUCACAAAUGUCAAGGCAAAAUACUUGACGGAUUACAAAUGGAUGGUCUACAGUCCAUUACUGAAUGGCGCAUACUGUAUCCGUUGUUCGGUGAUAACUCCUAUUUCCAAAAGACAGAAUUUGAGAAAAUUCGUAAAUAAACUAUUUACCGCGUUUCAUAUGUUUGACGAGAAGGCAAAACAGCAUCAAACAAAAAUAAGCCACCGCGAUGCAUUUUGUCAGAGACGUUCUGUAAUUUAAUCAAGAAGCCAAAUUAAAACAUUGAUAAUCGUUUUGAUGAAGAAAGAAAGAUUAAUAUUGAAAGGAAUCGACACAUUGUAAAAACAUUAGCUGAGGCAAUUCUUUUCUGCGGAAGACAGUGCAUUGCUCUGAGAAGUGAUGAAGAAACAUUGUCGGCAUCUGAUAAUUCGAUAAAAUACAACCCGGGUAACUUUUUGGCAGCGCUCCAAAUUAUUGCGAAACAUGAUGAAAUUCUACAUCAGCAUCUUUCCCAUAUUGGUAUCAGUAAUCGAAAUGCAAAAUAAACCUCUUCGCGUAUUCAAAACGAAAUUAUAACAAUUAUUGGAUACGAUAUCAUCCGUCGUGACUUGGUUAAAGAAAUAAAAGCUGUUACGUUCUACAGUAUUCUUGCAGACGAGCCAUAAUCGUGAGGAACUUGCAUUUUACAUUAGAUUUGUUGAUCAAAACAAAGACAUUCGUGAAGAAUUUUUAUCUUUUCUCCAUGUUCCAAGAAUCACCGGAGAAGUCAUUGCUAGCACCAUGAUUCAAUUUCUGCAAGACGUCAAUCUCAAUUUAAAAAACAUUCGUGGUCUAGCAAAUAUGUCUAGUGACAAUGUAGAUGUUCAGAGAAAAAUAAAGAAUGAGUCUCCAAAGGCUGUAUAUGUCUACUGCAGUGGACAUUGCCUUAAUCUUAUUAUAGCCCAAUUGUGUUCUCUUCCAAAUACAAGAAAUACCAUUGCCAAACUGAAGAACUGCUGUCUGUUUUUCCUUGCCAGUCCAAAGCGCGAGAGUCUUCUGCAAUCAAUCAUCAUGAAGGCAUUACCAGACAUUUUUAAACCCAGAAAAGGUCUCAUUGACCUAUGUAAAACAAGGUGGUCUUCACGACAUGACUCAUACAGACAUUUUUAUUAAGCAUACUGCUACGUAAUUAUUGCUCUGGAAUAUAUUGCGUAUGGUGCGAACAAAGAUGCAUGCGGAAAAGAUUUCACAAAUGUUACAUGGGAUACAACAUCCAGAGACAAAUUCAAUUCGUUGCUGACAAGUCUUACGUCUUUUGACUUUAUUAUAAGUUUCUUGACUAUGAACCAAUUCCUGUCACAUUUGGAAGGAAUAACUGUGAAAUUACAAGGCGGCACUGUAGAUAUUAUCAUGGCAUAUCAUGAAAUUGCUGAGGUGAAAUCUGUUUAUAAAGACAUUUUAAGAAACAUAGACGAAGAAUUUUUGCAUGUCUACACCCAAGCGAACGAAUGGCACGUUCUGUCAAUACCAACAAAGCCAAAGACUGUUGGACGUUAAAUAAUGCAUAACAAUGCUCCUGCAAUUAAUCCUGAGGAGUAUUAUUGACGAAAUCUCGCCAUUCCAUUCCUUAACCACAUAAGCUCAAAGUUGGAGAGUCAAUUUUCUGACUUUUCCAUCCUCUCCUCUAAACUGUUGGGGCUUGUACCAUCUACUCUCUGUGAAGAGGGAGGAGCAUCUCUUCAAAAUGUUGUCGAGUUUUAUGCAGAAGACUUACCAUCUGCUGAUUUGUUUCCCCAAGAGUUGUUUCGAUGGAAGCAUCGUUUCCAAAACAACCUCUUGAAAGAAUGUCCUUCAACUGCAGCGCAAGCACUAAAAGAAUGCGACGAUGAGUUAUUCCCAAACAUUUUCACUCUUCUGAAAAUUUAUUGUUCAAUCUCAGCGACCAGUUGCAAAUGCGAACGUAGUGCUAGUGCAUUGCGCAGGCUCCAUACAUAUUCGAGAGCAAGUAUGAAGCAAAAAAGACUCUCUGCACUUGCACUAAUGCAUAUCUACUAUGGUAAAGUUAUUUGCGAAGAGAAAAUUGUUGAUAUAUUUUUACAAAAAUAUCCUCGGCGUCUUCAAUAACGAUCUGUUUUGACUGAAAUUAUUUGACUUCACACAAAUUCAGUGUCGGUGCUUAUUAAGCUUGUGUGUCAUUAUAAAGUUUAUAUUAGUGUAUUAUUUUGGAAGCAAUAUAUUUGAUAUGUUGUAAAAA